AUGCCCCUCCCUUUGCUCCACCCCAACUACCCCACUACAUCUUCUUAUUUCCCACGAAAGAACUCCCUCCCCCUGGACGAUUUCCCAUCGCCAUGCCUGCCAUGGCAAUUGAAGCAAACUGGAACUCAAGUGGUUUUUCCUUGUUUUGUUUCCAAUAAGAAGAGACAAAAGAGUAGGAAUACGUACCAGGAAGCGCCAGGAGUAGGAAAAAGGUUCAAGGACGAAUGCAUAAUUAGAUGCACAGGUACAUAUACCGAAGAACUACAGAAGCACCAAGUAAAGAAUGAUGAAACACAGUUGUACUAA
rnacentral:rRNA from 1 species